UGAGUGCACGCAUGCGCUCUGGUCUGCGAUGCUUUCCUAGUUGAGGUUUGCACUCUUCCUCGCCCCGGCUGAGGCUGCGCAAGGGGCUUCACUUCCCCAGCGCCUCAAGGAAGUUGUGCGGCUUGGUCAGCACUGAUUUUCCCGUCCCAGCCAGAGUGCAUUCCGAGAGCGACCGCCAGGGCAUGGUGAGCGUGAGAGGCACCUCGGACACCCUCCGUGUACCCCAGGCUUUCCCUCAGUGCAGGCCCGGUACUUCAUUCCACACACCCCCAAAAAAGGAAAAAAAAAGUUGUGGGGAGAUCCUGCAGAUCAGUCAUGAGACCUGAAACUCACCCCUGAGUCAAGAAGAAUGCGGGAGCCGCCUCUCAGACCCAAAGGUCUGAAUCAGAAGUUUCUAGAUAUUAUUCUAGAACUUGUAAACUAGGAUGGAUUUUUCAUCAUGGAAUUGAAAAAUAUAAGGCUACAAUAGAAGACAGCGUUAUGACCAACAGUAAUAUCAGAGCGAAUUACAGAAGCUACUUCAUGGACGCAUGAGUACCUCAGGCAAUAAAAGAAGAUAAUGAGUUGGCCAGGAGCUGAACUGUGGUCCCAAGGCUUUCGGAAAAAGGGAGUUGGAUCCUAAAGGCUGGGGAUGGAUCCAGGUAGCUUGGUGAUGAAGGCACUGGACUCCCACAU